AGUUUUCGGCCCCAACGAUCUCUCAUCCCUCACAAAAAAGGGUGUUCAACGAACCAUCGAUUCCGCCACCGUCGACCACUUCCGUUGCUCUCAGUCAAUCAAGGCUUGAUUUAUUGGACUUCAUUCUCUCCUUUUCACGCUCACUUUGGUAACCACCAGUCUCAAGUGGCGCGCAAGUGAUAACAGGUUGAUUCUCCA